rnacentral:lncRNA from 1 species
ANAUGCACAAAUGUACAAUUGUGACGCAAAUAGAAACCACGUGCGCACUAAAGCCGGAGGGAGCAGUUCGAAAUAUAAUAUUUAAUUAUAGUAAGUACUCACUGCAGGUUUCGGCGUGUUGGCAACAAAAGGCCAAAUUACAGCCAGGAUGCCGCCAUCCGUACGACGUUAUCGAUACGAAAAAUUCGUCUCGUAUCGCGAAACACCAAUCCGCCGAAUGACAUGACGAAAACAAUUGAGCUGCCGCGGGGACGCGAGUUGUUGAGAGACUGACGGUCCCGAGCAAAUGAAUCAGCGGCGGUUGCACCGCGUCGACGUCACCGGCACUCAUCGCAGAGCGCGGAGGCCGGAGUGUGGCGGCUCGUCGCGCCUGCGCAAUACGGCAUGACAACCGGUGCGGAGGGGGGGGAGGGGGGGGAACUGGUUCUUCGGCGGCCGCCAACAAUAUUUUAGUGUCUGACCACUGUGUCAUGAUCACGGACUCCGCCCAACUAGCCGUCUCCCUUCCACCCAGUAAACGACCAAUUUGACGUCAACGACACACGGCGGUCUAAACCGUAACUCACCUUACCUAAAUUAUAUAACCCUUACGUUUUAACUCGUAUGACGGUGUGGUUUAUCAGUUUCGAGGACGCUGAACCCAAAUUUCGCAUUCGUUUUUCAAUUGCCUCGUCAGUUAAGGGGGCUGUGGUAGCGGUAGUUCAUUAAGUUUUACAUUAUUUGUAUUUUCUGUAUCAAUUUAUAUGUUUUAAAGGCCGUCGAGUCCAAAUUCCGUACAGGUUUAAAAUUAACAAUUAAAUUUGGAAAUUUUGUAAAACUGAAGUAAGCUACGUGACGUUGACGUAAAAUUUCCAAGUUAUAAAUAAAAUAUUGAUAAUAAUAUUAUAAAUUGGAUCAUUUUAUUCUAUUUGAUGUAAUUCUAUUUAUUAAGUAUUAGGGAGUUUUUGCUUAAGGCCGAUUAAAUAUUACGGUAAAAAUAACAUUCGGUUAAACCAAACAUAAAAUAUUAACGUUCAAUAAUUGUAUUAUGCACGCAUGAUACAAUUAUUUUAAACUUCCCACUGUACUAGGCUUCGUGUCUUAUCUAACCAAAUAUUAUAAUUUUUAAAACUUUCAGUCAUAGCAGAGUACGUGAGCUUUCUAUUAACGUAAUUUAUAUUGCUUUAGAGGCAAUAGUUUUUUUUUUUUAUAAUUUUUCAAAGUUAUAUAUUUUAUAUUCGUUACCGCAUGAUAUAAUUAUUUGAAAGGUAGGUACGUUGUUUUUGGGACAAACGAUUUUUCGUAAUUUUUUGUUUUUUUUUUUUUAACAAAACGCUGCAUAAAAACAUUACGCAGACAACCUCCUGCACAUCCUGCAUUUCGGCACCACAUCAUCAUAUAAUUUGUUCAUUUUUUUUUUCUAAAUACAACUGUUAAAUAUGCGAUGUAAAUCAUUACGCAACUAUGGCCGAACCUACCAUACAGGUCUUUUUUUUUUUUCUAAAUAAGGUAAGUACGCCAUUUUGUGGACUAUACUGACCGGGGGCAGGAGCCGGGGCCGCACGUCGGCGGGCCACGGGCAGAUACGUGCAAAACGUACGCCCGCGAAAUGUCCAGCGACGUACGUAACAAAAGACACGGAAAAACAUUGCCGAGGCCGGUCGCACCAUAGUGAAAAAAAAAACACGUGCAUCGGCCGAAAUACCGAUUUUCGGCUAUUCGGUCAGAUUUACGUUACCGAUAGGUAACCGAACCGAAUGACAUGUGCGGACACAACGUCCUACAGGUACAUCACGGGCAACCUCGCGCCGGUUUUACAGGACCGCUACGGGGUUACCUNCGGACAAUUACGCGCGAAAAUUACACCGGCAAAAUGUCGGGCGACGUACGCAUCGAGAGAUGCGGAAACGCAAACGUCGAAGCCGGUCGCAUAAAUGCGCAAGUAGGUACACAAUCGUGACGGAAAAAAAAACCACGUGCGCGCCCGGCUGGGGCGAGUAUCUCGAACAUCCGAGACACGUGCGUGAUUGAGUACUUACAUACUUAGUUCGGCGUGCCGGCGACCAAAAGACGUUAAUACCGUCGGGUCGGACGCCCGUCCGUACGCGUUACUGUCCGUACAGAAAUAAUUGGUAUAGCGCAAAACCGAACCGUCGCGUAGUGGAAAAAAUUACGGCCGGCACCGAGGAGCAGAGUUGUUCAUCGUUCG